rnacentral:rRNA from 1 species
AGAGUUUGAUCCUGGCUCAGGACGAACGCUGGCGGCGUGCUUAACACAUGCAAGUCGAGCGAUGAGAUCACUUCGGUGAAGGAUUAGCGGCGAACAGGUGAGGAACACGUGAAGAAUCUGCCUUCAACUCUGGGAUAACUCCGGGAAACCGGGGCUAAUACCGGAUAUGAGCCUUGAUCGCAUGAUCGGGGCUGGAAAGUUUUUCGGUUGAAGAUGACUUCGCGGCCUAUCAGCUUGUUGGUGAGGUAAUGGCUCACCAAGGCGACGACGGGUAGCCGGCCUGAGAGGGCGACCGGCCACACUGGGACUGAGACACGGCCCAGACUCCUACGGGAGGCAGCAGUGGGGAAUAUUGGGCAAUGGAGGAAACUCUGACCCAGCGACGCCGCGUGCGGGAUGAAGGCCUUCGGGUUGUAAACCGCUUUCAGCAGGGAAUAAGCGCAAGUGAAGGUACCUGCAGAAGAAGCACCGGCUAACUAUGUGCCAGCAGCCGCGGUAAUACAUAGGGUGCAAGCGUUGUCCGGAAUUAUUGGGCGUAAAGAGCUCGUAGGUGGUUUGUUACGUCGGUUGUGAAAUUCAGGGGCUCAACCCCUGACUUGCAGCCGAUACGGGCAAGCUAGAGUUUGGUAGGGGAGACUGGAAUUCCUGGUGUAGCGGUGGAAUGCGCAGAUAUCAGGAGGAACACCGAUGGCGAAGGUAGGUCUCUGGGCCAAUACUGACACUGAGGAGCGAAAGCGUGGGGAGCGAACAGGAUUAGAUACCCUGGUAGUCCACGCCGUAAACGGUGGGCGCUAGUUGUG